AUUCAGUUUUAUAUUUCGUAUUUGUUAUUUUUAUUAAUGUUCUUAUAUUUGUUUUUGUUUUUGUAUAUGUAUAUGAGAUGGCUGAACAUGUGGGCUGCGAGAUUGCUGACUUGUAGCUGGUCAAAGGAGUGUUGCAAGUUGGGCUAAUGCAUGACUUGGAGAUGGGCUUAAAAGACACAGAUGGGCUUGGGCAACAGACUGGGUUCGGGAGUCCGGGUUAUAAAAGAGUGUCCUCAUUCAGCCUAGGGUUUGAGAUAACACACAUACAGACUCCCCAAGACAGAUCUCUCAUAUUUCCAUUGUUCACAUCUACUACAAAAUUCUAUAGAAUUCGAUUCUUGACAAUUAAGGCAGGACCAAGACAUGAUGAUGAGAAACAAAAUCAUGGAAUCUGUCAGGAAAUUAGGCCAGGCAAGGCCGUGCCUACCAGAUACGCCUCAUACACCAUCCCUAUGCCUAUAGUGUAAUUAGGCUACACGGUAUGCUGAAGGUCCUCCCUUGGAGGAUGAUCCGCCACGUAAGCGCCACGUAGUAUGGGCGUGAGGAUGGGGCAAGGAGGAUGGAGGUAAGGAAAUGAGAGGAUGAUCCUAAAAUAUAUGUAACACCCCGUGUUUUAAAAGUCAAAGUCAAAGACAAGAUUGAAGUCAAAGGAAGAAAAGAUUGCUAAUUGCGAUAUGUCACUCUUUGCUUAACUAUUGUUUUGACUUCUUUGACUUGUAGAUAAGCUGUUUAUUUUAUCGCAUUAGUUGUAUUAUGUGGAGUACUUGUUAAUAAUCAAGGUUUAAUCGCUAUUCGUCGCU